CAACAAAUGAGAAGGAGCCACAGGCAAUUAACCAUAUAUUCAUCUUUAUUUAUUUAUUUCUCGUAGAACGACACCAACACUCUCUUUCUUCUCCUAAAAUCUGAUUCACAUCAUCAACUGUGUUACAAAGAAACCUACUCUUCAAACCACCAACUCUCAUCCUCUGCAGAAACUGAUUUUCUUAUAUAAGCUCAGUGCAACACAAUCUGCUUUGAGAACGCUAGUCCUAAAGCUAUCAACUCCAUCUCAGUCUCAUCCUCUGCAGAAACUCAUUUUCUUAGAUCAGCUCAGAGCAACGCAAUAUAUAACCCUAUAAAAGACUCCAACGCAUUAAGUGAGAACUGUCAAAUUCAUACAAGGUAACGUCAAUAUGAUAUAAACCUUUAUAUAUAUAGAUGGAUA